UCCGGGGGGGGGGGGGGGGGUCUCUGGUCCACUGGUCAGACCGCUCUGUGUGUGUGUGUGUGUGUGUGUGUGUGUGUGUGUGUGUGUGUGUGUGUGUGUGUGUGUGUGUGUGUGUGUGUGUGUGUGUGUGUGUGUGUGUGUGUGUGUGUGUGUGUGUGUGUAAAAAAAAAAAAAAGUGAGAACUGGAAACGUUUAUGGUGAGACCCGUGGGUCACGACGACUCGACGCUGCCUGGCACGCGUUUAAGGGAAAGCCGCGAGAUCACACGGCCGCCGUUGACAGUGGGAGCUGAUUGUAAUCCGGGGUGACGCUGACAGAGGGGGGUGCUUAGGCCCUGGAGGGGCCAUGUGUUUGGGCCGGCGGCCGCCUCCGCAGCACCCGUAGAUCUGGGGCUUCACCAUUAGUCAAGUUUGUCAGAUCUCCGUGAGUGUGUGUGUGUGCGUGAGUGAGUGAGUGAGUGAGUGAGUGAGUGAGUGUGUCUGUGUGUGUAUAGUAGCGCCAACACGUGCACAUUCCCAUCUGUGUCGGUUUGGGUCUGUCAGCGCUGGCCACUAAACGCAGCUGAUGUUACCCCCCCCCCCCCCCCCCACACACACACACACCCAAGUUGGAAGGCCAGGCGCACCCGGCGUUCAUCACCAUUUAUCCGGCUGACAGAGGGCUCGUGCGUCUCUUCAAAGGCCCUCCAUCCAUCGCGCCACGGGGCCUGAGUCAACACCGCUUUUUAAUACGCCAUUCACAAGGGGAAUCGGCGCCCCUUAACUGUGUGUGUGUGUGUGUGUGUGUGUGUGUGUGUGUGUGUGUGUGUGUGUGUGUGUGUGUGUGUGAGAGGGGGGUCAGCAGAGGAGGUUAAAUUGGUUCCAGGUGCUCCGCUGUGUUCUAGGAGUGCAGGAUCUUUCAUGUUUUAAGGGCCGAUGAGUCCUGAGUUAAUUUGUCCAGGGGUGGACAUGCAAGUGUAGUACCGUCCUCCUCCUUCACUUUGAUUGGUCAAUGAUCAAAUACUGGCUGUCCAAUGGGAUGAACGUUAAUAAUGUUAUAAUCUCCCCGCCCUCCACCUCAAUGUCUAUCUAUCUCUCUCUCUAUCGCUCUCUCUGUGUGUGUGUGUGUGUGUGUGUGUGUGUGUGUGUGUGUGUGUGUGUGUGUGUGUGUGUGUGUGUGUGUGUGUGUGUGUGUGUGUGUGUGUGUGUGUGUGUGUGUGUGUGUGUGUGUGUGUAAACUAA